rnacentral:rRNA from 1 species
GCAUAUCAAUAAGCGGAGGAAG